rnacentral:rRNA from 1 species
AACGAACGCUGGCGGCAUGCCUAACACAUGCAAGUCGAACGAGACCUUCGGGUCUAGUGGCGCACGGGUGCGUAACGCGUGGGAACCUGCCCUUAGGUUCGGAAUAACUCCCCGAAAGGGGUGCUAAUACCGGAUAAUGUCUUCGGACCAAAGAUUUAUCGCCUUGGGAUGGGCCCGCGUUGGAUUAGCUAGUUGGUAGGGUAAAAGCCUACCAAGGCGACGAUCCAUAGCUGGUCUGAGAGGAUGAUCAGCCACACUGGGACUGGGACACGGCCCAGACUCCUACGGGAGGCAGCAGUGGGGAAUAUUGUACAAUGGGCGAAAGCCUGAGCCAGCAAUGCCGCGUGAGUGAUGAAGGCCUUAGGGUUGUAAAGCUCGUUUACCCGGGAUGAUAAUGACAGUACCGGGAGAAUAAGCGCCGGCUAACUCCGUG